GUUUUAUGCGGAGAAAGGAGUUUGGUUGUGUUGGAGAGAGCGGCGGAAAUGGAGGAUUUUGUGGUGGCGGUUGGAGCGAAGCCGGUGAAGAAGCCCAUGAAGAAGCAGAGGGAGAAAUGGAGAAUGGCUUUUUUGCAGAGGGAGGAGAUGGUUUGAUUUAGCUGUUUCUUGAAGUAAAAGGAAGGAAAGAAGGAAGGAGGAAGGGGUUUUUUGUGUACCAAAUUUUUGGGUGGGAUGGAACUCAUCAACUAAUAUCAUUUAAGAUUGUGCCAUGCAUGCAAAAUGCAUGGAUGAGGUCAUUGAAGCACUCAACCUAAUGACGACAAACUUGAAGAAUUUGAUGGUCUCAAAUGUGGAAAUCCAUGAUCUGGCCACGAUGGAGACGGAAGGAAAUACAUUCGAGUUGUUCAAGGUAGAUUUAUUACAUACACUAUAUUUGUUGAUAGUUCUUAUACAUUAUGUUUGUUCCUUGUGUGGUUUGAAUCAAAUAGGGAGAUAGCCGACUUCACUAGGGAGUUGGAUAAAUUGAAGCGAAAAGAAGAAAAUGAAAAAGAAAUUGACAAUGGAGACACAAAUGACAAACAAUUACAGUUCUGGAAAGACGACAAGGAAUGAUGAUUAUCACAAUAUGUAACUUCAUAGCGAUAAUCUCCAUGAAUUAUCAAAAAUUGGCAUCAAACGAAACAUGCAAGCAAGCAACCUUAAAGUUGUUAUAUUGUUUAUUGUCGUCCCACAUGCCUCCAUAUAAAAUUGUGAUCUUUUGAAGAAAUAUUUGGCUGAAAGAUGAACAAAUGAACUAUAAUUACAAUGUGGAUGUGAUGAAUGAACGAAUAAAAUAGGAAAAAUUUAAAAUAUCUAUGAAUAAAAGGGAAGAUUAUGAUGUUAUGUA